UAAAUAAUAUACCGAGACCUUGUCCAUAAAUAUUUAUAUGUACAAGUUACAUAGAAUAUAUAUGGGGUAGCGGAACUUGGGCAUAUUCAGAUUUUUUCUUUUUAAGACUUAAGAUUAGAUUACCCAAGUGAUAAUGCUGACAUGAGUAACGAUAAAGGGUUUAUACCCUCGCCUAAAGCUUAUGGAAUUUACUUAAAGUAACGGCCUUUAGUUUAAAUUUGCUUUACUUUACUGGGUUUUUUAGCUUAAUUAAAAACGUGAUAAAGUAAAGUUACCUAAUGGUAUAAACGAUGAGAAAAAAAAAUUUUUUUUUUUAGAAAAAAUCUAAGUUUUACGGUAAAUAAGAAUGGAUACUUAUGGAAACACAUUGAACGCGUAAAGUUGAAAAGUGUGUUUAAGUUUUCUCUAAAGAAAAAAAAUAUUUAGUGGGUUUUGACUAAACACACUAUAUAAAUAAAAACAGCAUUUGUGUUGGUAUACUAGAGCUAGGGUACCUGUUAAAAUAGUAACUGAAAGUAAGGUGAUAGUUACUAACUAAAGUGACAAAUGCUCUGGAAAAACGUAAAACUAGCAUGCUUAAUUAGAGUAUAGACGAGGCGGAUCGUCCCUUGUCUAUAAAAUGCUAAGU
rnacentral:rRNA from 1 species